UACGUAGGGUGCGAGCGUUGUCCGGAAUUAUUGGGCGUAAAGGGCUCGUAGGCGGUUUGUCGCGUCGGGAGUGAAAACACCGGGCUUAACUCGGUGCUUGCUUUUCGAUACGGGCAGACUAGAGGUAUUCAGGGGAGAACGGAAUUCCUGGUGUAGCGGUGAAAUGCGCAGAUAUCAGGAGGAACACCGGUGGCGAAGGCGGUUCUCUGGGAAUAUCCUGACGCUGAGGAGCGAAAGUGUGGGGAGCGAACAGG
rnacentral:rRNA from 1 species